rnacentral:rRNA from 1 species
UACGAAGGGGGCUAGCGUUGCUCGGAAUCACUGGGCGUAAAGCGCACGUAGGCGGAUCUUUAAGUCAGGGGUGAAAUCCCGGAGCUCAACUCCGGAACUGCCUUUGAUACUGGGGGUCUCGAGUCCGGGAGAGGUGAGUGGAAUUCCUAGUGUAGAGGUGAAAUUCGUAGAUAUUAGGAAGAACACCAGUGGCGAAGGCGGCUCACUGGCCCGGUACUGACGCUGAGGCGCGAAAGCGUGGGGAGCAAACAGG